CCCUUAGAUGUUCUGGGCCGCACGCGCGCUACAAUGAUGAAUUCAACGAGUUUAUAACCUUGGUUGAAAAGCCUGGGUAAUCUUUUGAACUUUCGUCGUGAUGGGGCUAGACCCUUGCAAUUAUUGGUCUCCAACGAGGAAUUCCUAGUAAACGCAAGUCAUCAGCUUGCAUUGAUUACGUCCCUGCCCUUUGUACACACCGCCCGUCGCACCUACCGAUUGAAUGGUCCGGUGAAAUCUUCGGAUUGAGACUUUGAUUUCUUCACGGAAAGCGCUGUUUUAAAAAGUUGAUUAAACCUUACCAUUUAGAGGAAGGUGAAGUCGUAACA
rnacentral:rRNA from 1 species